rnacentral:tRNA from 1 species
CGCCGUCGAGGGCCUGGCCCGGGCGACCGGCGCGCCCCCGGACGGCGUGCGGCGGGCGGUGAUGCUGGCCGGGUCGCUCCCGGCGGUGGCGC